GCCGUAGCUUUUCAAAAGAGGAACGGUACAGUACGCCUAAUGGGGAGUGGUAAGAGUUCUAGUCGCUUUACUGAUUUAUCUUGAUGGGGUCCUCUAAAGUACUGUGAAUGGCUAGAAGACAUUUUGUUAUUACAAGCAAACCGAAGACAUUGAUCACUGGACAAAACAGGAAAGCACGUGAGUUGGAGAUCAAAGUCCAAGUGUCAGAUAAAGCAGCAGCUCUCAAGUUCCAUGUUUUUUUGCAUCCGUCCAGAAAUGACUAACUGGUCCUUCUAUGUUUUUUCACAAUGAAGCAGGAAGUUAUAUGUGGUAGAUGGUGUCUAGGAUGUUCUUGGUGGGUCUUCUCUUCUGCAACCUUCUAGCGACCGCCCUGAAAAGCCCUGGCAGCCCACAUCGAUGGACUCGCAUUGGGCCUUCCACCCACUCCUUCUACAUUCCUCUACCACCUCAAGACUGGUCGAUGGAAACUUGGGGAAAAAAAACAACAACAAGAUAUCCUCUAAAAAUGCAUUGAUGAUGACAUAUUACCCACCUGGCAGUCAGC